rnacentral:rRNA from 1 species
AGAGUUUGAUCAUGGCUCAGGGUGAACGCUGGCGGCGCGCCUAAUGCAUGCAAGUCGAGCGUGCCCUGGUGGCUUCGGCCAUCAGGGAAAGCGGCAGACGGCUGAGUAACGCGUGAGUAACCUGCCCUCUGGUGGGGUAUAGCCGCGAGAAAUCGCGGUUAAUCCCGCAUAAGAUCUCCAGGCCUUGGUUUGGAGAUGAAAGCCUUCGGGCGCCGGAGGAGGGGCUCGCGUCCUAUCAGGUAGUUGGUGAGGUAACGGCCCACCAAGCCGAUGACGGGUAGCUGGUCUUAGAGGACGACCAGCCAGAGGGGGACUGAGACACGGCCCCCACUCCUACGGGAGGCAGCAGCAGGGAAUCUUGGGCAAUGGGCGAAAGCCUGACCCAGCGACGUCGCGUGGAGGAUGAAGGCCUUCGGGUUGUAAACCCCUGUUCGGUGGGACGAACAUUUUCCCAUCAAUAGUGGGAAAAUCUGACGGUACCACCAGAGUAAGCCCCGGCUAACUCCGUGCCAGCAGCCGCGGUAAUACGGAGGGGGCAAGUGUUGUUCGGAAUUACUGGGCGUAAAGGGCGCGCAGGCGGCUUGGCAAGUCGAGUGUGAAAUACCUCAGCUUAACUGAGGAAUGGCGCUCGAAACUACCUCGCUAGAGGGCGGGAGAGGGAAGUGGAACUCUCGGUGUAGGGGUGAAAUCUGUAGAUAUCGAGAGGAACACCGGUGGCGAAGGCGGCUUCCUGGCCCGUACCUGACGCUGAGGCGCGAAAGCGUGGGGAGCAAACAGGAUUAGAUACCCCGGUAGUCC